UGGUAGCUCCCCUAAACCAGACAGUUAUUAUGGAGGUGAGGGUGGACUGAGUGAGGGCAGCGUAGAACUGCCUCAACAAUGACUGUGAUAUUGAUGGGGUGAGUGGGACCAAGGCUUUUCCUGAAGUCCACGAUCAUCUCUACAGCCUUCAGAGCAUUAAACUCCAGGCUGUUACAGGAGCACCGUCUAGUGAGGAGGCCCACAGGAGGCUGAACUGGAAGAAGAACCUGAGGUUCAUAGAGAAACACAACCUGGAAGCUUCAC